AAGUGGAAAUUAUGUUGACUUAAAUGUAUUUGGUUUACCAGUGCUUCUCUUCUCUCCAAGAAUAAAAGUGGCAAAGCACCAUUGCACCUGUUGUAAGUUCUAACUUUUUAGACUCUUCUUCUUGAAUUUCAGUUGGAUUUGGCUAGUGGUGAAGAAUUCAUUAUAAAUUUGCACUUGUUAUAGUUUUGAGAAACUUUUGUUUCUGGAUGGAACCUUUGAGCUAUGCUUUGGAAGGGAGAGGCCUUAUUUUUCCUGAUAAUGUUGAAUUGUCUGUCGACACAGUUUCGAGAAGUAGAAGUAUUGUAAAGGAAUGGAAUUUGAACCCUUUUUGUGAUGUUGAUAAAAGCAUUUGUGGUUUUAGUCAAGAAGUAACUGAAAGCACAGAGUUCCUGGGAUCAGGUAUUGCUGAUAUUUUGAAGAAAUCAGCAGCCAGUAACCCGUGUCCCGGGGUUUUAAGUGGUGAAAUGAGUGAUGGUUGUGGUAAAAUGCUAUCGUCAACUUCUAUGUUUAAUACAUUUGAACCGAUUCCUGGAGAAGUUGGACUUGGUGCCAUGUUUAACCAGAGGGCUACUAAAUCUAACAAUCCGAUGUCAUCAUUGAUUGAUUUGAAAUUGGAGGAGUUGACUGAUCAUGGAGAAUUAAGGACUAGUCAAUCUUCGAAAGAAAGUUCGAUACUUUCUUCUCCAGAAUCUUCAUUGGCAGCUGGAAAAGCCCAAACAAAGAGAUUGCAUUCUCAGUUUUCUAUCUCUCAGGUUCGUGGUCAGAAGGAGGUGGAGUCGACGACUGUUUAUAGGGAAAUUAAGAGUAAUCAGUCUUUAAAGAGAAACUCGGCUUUGUCUUCAGUCAAUUCGUCACUGCAGGGAAAAAGACUACGUACUACGAAUUUUCAUUCCGAGAUUCCUGUCUGCCAGGUUCAUGGUUGUAACAAGGACCUGAGCUCCUCAAAAGACUAUCACAAGAGACACAAAGUAUGCAAUGAACACUCAAAAACUGCUAUAGUCAUAGUUAAUGGGAUUGAGCAAAGGUUUUGUCAGCAGUGUAGCAGGUUUCACUUGCUAGCAGAAUUUGAUGAAGGUAAACGCAGCUGUCGCAAACGUCUUGCAGGCCAUAAUGAGCGGCGGAGAAAGCCUCAAUUCGAUACUCACUGGGGUUCAAGAUUUUUGGAUAUGACUUCCCAAAGGAGAGUACCAUUUCUUUUCCCCGAAAUAUUUCCCGGUAGUUUCUUUUAUCAAGAAAAUUAUGAAGAUAAUAACAACAGCAAGCACCUUAAAUUAGAACAUAAGCCAUUCGGCAUCUCUCAAUUGGCUAUGUCAGUAAAAAAUGAGCAAUUCCCGGCGAAAAGCAUCCAGCAUCAUUACGGAGUGGGAAAACAAGAUCCGUCCAAAGUUCUCACUGGUGGGGCAACAUUGUCUGUUCAAGAAUUUUCCGAAGGGCAAAACUCCUCUUGUGCUCUCUCUCUUCUGUCAGCCCACUCACAAAACCUUCUACACAAUUCAACAGAUGUUUCACCAACUCUACAUUUGACGGUUGAACCAAACCAUCAUGUCUACAUUAAAGGAGAUCAUCAUAAUCUUGAGAAAUCUCCCAGAGUUAGUGUUGCAAAUAGAUUGACACCAGUUGAGUUAUAUUCAUUUGACGUAGCCGAGCAAGAUGUGGUCGUUCAAGUUCCUGAUAGUGAUGCUGUUUCAUUUGGAAUUCAGAGAGAUCACGGCCAUGAUCGAAGAUCAAACUCUAUAAAUUCCAGGAACUGCCUUUCUCCGGAAUUUGGGCCUACCAUGGAUUUAGUGCAGUUGUCUUCGCACCUACAAAGGGUCGAGCAGCAGAAAAAUUCCGUCCAAGUGAAGCAGGAAAAUGAUAUCUUUUGUUCCUUUACUUCCACUUGAGGCUUAUAAGAGCUACAAGGUUUUCAUUUCUAGUAACUAGUGAAGAUUAAGGAUCAUUAUGAGCCUUGUCUGAAGGGUCAACAUCCGAAAUGAAGAAUCGGAAGAUUAUAUGAGGAGAUUAAACUAAUUCACAAGUGGCCUUUCCAACAAGUCAAAAGGCAAGGCAGAUUAAUAAAUGAUUGAUAUCAGUACAUCUUUUGUAAGUGUCAGCCAUAGCUUUUCUAUUGCUUUCUUUACAUCAAUUGUUUUGUUUCAAUAUAUCCAUUUCGUCGAAACAGUGCUCUUAUUAUUUUAAUAGUUAGUGUUGUCUUUAAGGAAUCUUGCAUCAUAUACUGAUGUAUAAGAAGAAAAUAGUAUCAGAAAUAUAACAUUUCUUGUGUGUAA